rnacentral:rRNA from 1 species
CACGUAGGGGGCAAGCGUUGUCCGGAUUUAUUGGGCGUAAAGAGCUCGUAGGCGGUUCGGUAAGUCGGGUGUGAAACCUCCAGGCUCAACCUGGAGACGCCACCCGAUACUGCUGUGACUAGAGUCCGGUAGGGGAGCGUGGAAUUCCUGGUGUAGCGGUGAAAUGCGUAGAUAUCGGAAGGAACAUCAGUGGCGAAAGCGACUUCCUGGACCAAUACUGACGCUCAUGUGCGAAAGCGUGGGGAGCAAACAGG